rnacentral:rRNA from 1 species
GAUGAACGCUGGCGGCGUGCCUAAUACAUGCAAGUCGAGCGAACGGACGAGAAGCUUGCUUCUCUGAUGUUAGCGGCGGACGGGUGAGUAACACGUGGAUAACCUACCUAUAAGACUGGGAUAACUUCGGGAAACCGUAGCUAAUACCGGAUAAUAUUUUGAACCGCAUGGUUCAAAAGUGAAAGACGGUCUUGCUGUCACUUAUAGAUGGAUCCGCGCUGCAUUAGCUAGUUGGUAAGGUAACGGCUUACCAAGGCAACGAUGCAUAGCCGACCUGAGAGGGUGAUCGGCCACACUGGAACUGAGACACGGUCCAGACUCCUACGGGAGGCAGCAGUAGGGAAUCUUCCGCAAUGGGCGAAAGCCUGACGGAGCAACGACGCGUGAGUGAUGAAGGUCUUCGGAUCGUAAAACGCUGUUAUUAGGGAAGAACAUAUGUGUAAGUAACUGUGCACAUCUUGACGGUACCUAAUCAGAAAGCCACGGCUAACUACGU